CAAGUGCGGCCACGUGAGCUUAAAAUACGAAUCAUUUGUAUCUGUCUGUUUCCCACCACCACGCUGUCUUCGGGGAACCUCCAGUUGACCUCAGCGAUCAGCUGUCUGAUCCGACGACCCUUGUUUUCAAGAACAGUCUUGAUCCUAAAGAUGCCAACUGCUCACUUUGUGGCCAGAAUGAUGAUCUCAGUCCUGAUUAAAGUCACACACACCUCCAAACCGGCACGACCAUCCACAGAAAGCUCAUGAGUCAGGAACUCUUUCAGCUCAGCCCUUUUGAUACCGUCUGCGACGAACUGUGGAGAGAGAACAGGUCUUCUCGACCUCAGCAAUCACCUGUCUGAUCCGAUGACCCUUCUCUCCAAGCGUCGGUCAGGUUUACCUUAGCCGGCAUCCCUGACCCCAGCUGACAGUGGAGGAUUUUGGGUUGGGCUCCUCUGAGUCCCCAACUGACAAGGAAGGAGGCUGGGACGACUUUCCUGAGCCCCUAGCUGACACAGGAGGUGAUAUGUUGGGCUCGCAUGAGCCCCCAGCUGUUGGGGAAUAUGUGAAGUGGAGGAUAUUUUUUUUUCCGUUGGCCAAAGCAAUCCAGGCAGGUGGCGCAAACAGACUCCCUCUCCUGCUUUCUUCCCAAGGAGUUAAUCCUGUGUCUGUGGAGGUGGAUGACACGAAUGCUAAAUUUUAAAAAAUUGUCAAAGGAAAUGCUGUUGGAUCCAUCAUGGUCAGGUAGUUCUGUCACAGCUGGGAAAUAGAAGACCUGCUCCCAAAGACUGUGGGUCAACAAGACACGUCUGAGCUCCAAACCAGUAGAACUGGUGCAGGGCCACAAUCACACGCCUCAUGCUCUGAAGAACUUCAGAUGAUAGAAGUAUCACACUUUUGUCAUUGCCAUCGUCUCGCUUCUCUCGAUCCACAGGUGGGUGAAAUUACUGAAAUGACUUCAUUAUGAUCCCCUUCAACAGGACACCGAUUCAAAUAUCCUGAAACCCAUUAAACGAACAGCAGGUUUGUAAAGAUGAGGCUCAGAGAUGGAGGAUGCAAACCAUACUGGAAAUAAUUUUUGUCACAAUAACAGCAAGGAUGAAAAUCAACACCAGUGACUUCAGUCACAUAUAUAUCAGAACCCGUUCUUGUUCUGUUACUUUUUUGUAGAAUAGCAUACUAAAGGAUUGUGUGAUUUGGCUUUUAUUAUGCCUCAAGAUAGAUUUUAGGAUUUUAAAAAGUCUUCCAAGUGAUCUGGGGAAGAUAACCUCCUCUCUCUAAGACUGUAGUGUCUUUACUUUGCACUGGAGAGUAGAUAAUGGACAGUAUUAUUAGAUACAGCAGAGAGGUGAACCAUGUAAAAUCAGGUGUUUCUGUUGGAUGAGAGACUGACAUUAGUGUCACAUACAGGGGAUUUUUUUGUGGUUGUAGAUUUAUAUCAUGCUUUCCUAGUAAACUACUUUGUGACAUUCAGUGCAUCUUAUCAACACAUCGCCAGUGAAGUGGUUUUGUUUGCUGCUGAGCAGAUUUUAUCUCUAUGUUCAUGUAUGUGGUUUUCUGGGGUUCAUGUGCUCUCUUUAAAAAAAUACAACCACUAUAAGGUGUGUGAGACUUUUUAAUGUAGUGGUGCACUUUCAGUGACAGACAAGCAAAUGACAAGAUGAUAACAGAUAAAAUGGUGAUUUAACAAUGAAGAAAUGCAACUGGCAGCAAGAGUAUGCAAAGUGCAUGUUCAGUUUCAGAUGUAAAUAACUUGAAUACACUCAAGUACAUUGAGAAGUUUUAUCAUUCAUGUUAACUGCAGCAUGAAAGUGGUUUGUAUUCCUUUGCUUUCUUUGAAACACAUUUGCCCACCAGCACAUUACAGAGUAAAACAUUUGGUUUGACCUUAUUUUUUUUCUUUCACCUACAUCUUCAUCUGAUACAAAAUGCAGUGACUGCAGUGAUGCACUGCAUCUUCUUUAAACAUAGACCGGUUGUUUUUUCCACAUUUGCAUUUAUAUUUUCUUAAUUAAAAAAUGUUUUGACAUCAAGGAUACUGAAUUAAAUCUUUAGACAAUAUUUUAGUAUCAUGUAGCAUUUAGUUUGGGGGAAGUUAUGCAAUUUGUUUGAACGCAUGCUUUUUUAAAGCUGUUCUUCUAUAGCUGUAGAAUAGAUUCCAUAAUCAGCCGACCCCUUUGUUAUCUCUGAAACCUAAACUUGAUAUCUUCUACCCACCUAUGAAGUUUCAUGAAUUUAUCUUGCAAAGUGAUAAAUUCACUGAGUGCAGUGACCCCCAAGCUAAGCGAGUGGGUCCAGCAGAUCCCAGGAACAACAUCCGGCAUCUCUGUCCAGAGGAGGAAAAGAAAUUAAGGAAAAGAAUACACAAUAAACAUCUGUGUGAGUGCUUGCUGGGGCAAUCCCGCGAGUUUCAUUUAUACACUUCUUCCAACUUUAUCUUGGGAACUGAUAUGUGUGUGACGCUCUUACGGAGAAACAAUUA